AUUCACCAAGCUCAGACUAAUGUUUGAUUGUGGGUCUGCAUCUCUUUCCAUUAGUUGCUGGAUGACACCUUUCUGAUGACAGUUGGGCUAGGCAGCAAUCUGUCUCUGGACCAUCCAACCUGUGAGAACUGGUGCUCCUGGCAGCGUCAGAGCCUAGAUAAUAAGAUCAGCAACUAUUAAAUGGGACCUCAUGAGACUGAAAAGCUUCUGUAAGGCAAAGGACAUCAUCAAUAGGACAAAAUGACAGUCUACAGAAUGGGAAAAGAUCUUCAUCAUCCCCACGUC